rnacentral:rRNA from 1 species
UACGUAGGGUGCAAGCGUUAAUCGGAAUUACUGGGCGUAAAGCGUGCGCAGGCGGUUUUGUAAGUCAGAUGUGAAAUCCCCCGGGCUUAACCUGGGAACUGCGUUUGAAACUACAAGGCUAGAGUGUGGCAGAGGGGGGGUGGAAUUCCACGUGUAGCAGUGAAAUGCGUAGAGAUGUGGAGGAACACCGAUGGCGAAGGCAGCCCCCCUGGGUUAACACUGACACUCAGGCACGAAAGCGUGGGGAGCAAACAGG